rnacentral:rRNA from 1 species
GACGAACGCUGGCGGCGUGCUUAACACAUGCAAGUCGAACGGAAAGGCCCUGCUUUUGUGGGGUGCUCGAGUGGCGAACGGGUGAGUAACACGUGAGUAACCUGCCCUUGACUUUGGGAUAACUUCAGGAAACUGGGGCUAAUACCGGAUAGGAGCUCCUGCUGCAUGGUGGGGGUUGGAAAGUUUCGGCGGUUGGGGAUGGACUCGCGGCUUAUCAGCUUGUUGGUGGGGUAGUGGCUUACCAAGGCUUUGACGGGUAGCCGGCCUGAGAGGGUGACCGGCCACAUUGGGCCUGGGAUACGGCCCAGACUCCUACGGGCGGCAGCAGUGGGGAAUAUUGCACAAUGGGCGGAAGCCUGAUGCAGCAACGCCGCGUGCGGGAUGACGGCCUUCGGGUUGUAAACCGCUUUCGCCUGUGACGAAGCGUGAGUGACGGUAAUGGGUAAAGAAGCACCGGCUAACUACGU